rnacentral:lncRNA from 1 species
ACACUACAACAGGAGAGGGAGCAAGCGCGAGAGGAUAUUAGAAGAGAGGCUUGUCUCCAAGAUAUGGAAGGAAGUGAGAAAUGACAGGGCUGCAAGCUUUGUAUGUAGGAGCCCGGCAGGGCGGGGGAGCGGCGAGGAGAGCCAAGUGGAUUCUCAGAAAAGGGGGGAAGCCAUCGAAGAGCUAAAGGAGGCUGUGCGGGCCCCGCUCCGCUUCGAAUGGCUGGUCCUAUAGUACCCCUCCUCAGGAAUGUCUCCCCAGUGCAAGGACAAAGACUGAAGAGACUGCUAUAUUGAUGGACUCUCAAGCCAACUAUGAAGUUGAAACAAAGAAAGUGAUCACCUGAAGACACCUCCUCUGCUAAGAAACACCCCCAAAUUGUGCAGCUUCUGCCACUAGAACUCUCAGAACAAGAGACAAUCUUUUCAAGAAACAGAAAAACUCAAUAAUGACAUCUAGAUUUUCAUGAGCCAAGAACUUUCCCUUCCUCAUGUGUAUUCCUCUGUUUGUACUUAAAUUCAUGUGACAUUCAUUUUUUUCCUAGUAUGGAUAUGCUUAUUAAUGCACUUGUUUCAAAAUCCCAAAUUGCACAAAUGUGUUAAUAUUUUAAGAAACAAAAUGAAUCCUACAAGGAGAAUGAUUUUUAGCCACACAUAGGGUUGGAUCUUGAGAGUGACCUACAGAAUAAAAGUACUUUUAAAAUAAAGUAGUCAGAGGCUAUUCAAAGGGUAAAAUAAUCAUAGUACCACAUUGGUCCACUUGACACUAACCAAUCGAUCAUUUUUUUUUAAUCAAGAAAGCUAGAUUCUAUCAGAUAAAAUCACUGCUUCUAAAGAGUUUAAAUCUAGUUAGAAAAAGUUAUAGAAAUGUUUGCAAAGAUAAGUAACAGAUAGAGUCAGUAGAGGAUAAGAUCAAAAACAAAACCAAGCAAAAGAUGAGUUCAGGGGAGUUUGCCAUCAAGUUGGCAAAACUGACUUACUUAGGGAAGAAAGUUAUAAAACAGGAAAAUAUGAGAUGAACCUUGAGUGAUGUGGAAGAUUUAGAUAAAUGGAAAGGAAGGAGAAAAUGGAGUUCUUUAGGUGGUUGUAAUUGGAGGAGGAAAUGAAUACACACAUCUUGUUGACUUAAACCCAGACAUUCAGCAGCUCUCUAUACAUAUCUGGAAAAGACUGCACAGUCACCUCCUGUCUCUCACCCCAGGUAUUACUUAGAAUUAUUAUCAUAUUUCCCUUCCUUUAAAGUAAGUAAGGGUGAUUGGUGACAAUAUGGAGAACUAUGAUUUUUCCAUUAACCUAAUAAUAAUUGGUAUUUAUUGAGUUCUGUUAAGCAUUUUACAUAUUAACUCACUUAAGCCUUUCAACAGCCUUGCAAAAUAGGUAUUAUUAUCCCCAUUUUACAGGCAAGAAAACUGAGGUUUAAGUAACUUGCCGAAGUGCCAUAUACAGGGCUCACAUUCAGUAUUGCAGUUGCAAAGCUCAUGAUCUAUAGUGCCAAGUUGCAAUAUUGUAGUCAAUGUCACAAUUAUUACCCCUUUUUAUAUUCCUUGAUAUUUUUCCAUGGCAAACAAUUAGCUAUUUCAUUUAAUAAUCACCUAAAACUUUUCAGUCUUCUGAUUAAAAUUACGCUGGAGUGAUAGAAUGUAUUUUCAUGAUAGAAAUUGGGAAAAAAAAUGGGGAAUGAAGUUUAUCAGCAUUUCAGACUUGUUUUUUUUUUUUUUUUUUGCAAGACUUUGAUGAGAUUGUUCACUUUUGUCUAUGUAAAAUCCCAAAUCCUUGAGAAUAAAAAAGGGGGAGGUUUAAGUCACUUGUUGCAAUGCCCUUUUUAAUAGAGGCAAUAAAUCUAAAGGCCAUAAAUUUAGAGUGACUUACAGAAGAUCGAACUUUGGAGUGUGGCAGAGUAAGGGAUGGAAACCGGGCCCUCCAGUUCACUAUCAGUAGCUUUUGCACUGGUCUGCCCUUCCUAAAUUAAGUAUGCACUUCAAUUUGAUGAGUGGAAACAGUCUAUCUGGGCAGUAACCAGGGAGCUUUGUGCCUAGUAGAUUGCUUCUGUUCUGCACUUCUUUGGUUUCCCACCUCAAUGUAAAAAAUAGCUAGCAAUGAAGUCCAGAAGUUGUCAAUGGUUCAUCCCCAGAAGAAUGCAUAAUGUCCAAAGUUGUAUGUGUAUGAUGUCUUCAAUGGUAUUAAGUUAUUUCAAAUUCUUAGUUCACCUACAUAAAUCAUUUCUAACAAGCAUCUUCUUAACCAACUUUAUGCACAGUGUAUGUUUGUAAGUGCUUCUGCACGAAUGUUUAUACAUGACUGUUUCCAUAGUACUUAUGUUUUUAAAAAUAUUCAGUCAUUUCCUACUAUAAUCCUCAUGUAUCCAUGUAACUGACUCAAAAAUACUUCAGCCACAGAAAGCUAAAACUGAGCAAAUCUCAUUCUUCUUUUCCAUCCCCUUUGCAUGUGGCUGGCAUUUAGUAAUGAUUAAUAAUAUGGCCAGCUGAAUAACAGAGGUUUGAGACACAAUUCUUUCUCAAAGGAGUCAGCUAAGCUGGGUCUACUUAUGGACAAACAUCUAAAUGUGUGGAAGUAUCUGAUAUUUGACAAUGGUAAAUUUCCACUUAGCUAGCUAGCAUUGUCAGACUUCAAUCUCCUCAUGGCUCUGGCCGUCCUGUUUUAAGCAUGAUAAUUGUUGGCCACAUCUCACAUAGUUCUCAUUGAGUGAGUUCAUAAAUAAACAGGGUUUUUUUUUUUUUUUAAAGAGCAGCCAAGCACAAAGUGUGACUUUGUUGACAUUUUAUGUGACUUUGUCAUAUGUUCCUAACCCCCAAUAAAAGCAAUGUUGCAUCAACUGUGAAUUUGUGUUGAUUUCUUGAAAAAGCAUGCUCUUAUAAUUUAUUUGUUUUCACUAGUGUAUAUCAAAGUUAGUUUCAAGAUCCACGAGGAACAAGUCAGCUAAUGUGAUAGGAAAAUUUAAAUGUGGAGACAACUUCUAAAGGAUCCCAUGUUACCUUUAAAUAAAAGGUACUGUCAUCUACCAAGUCAGAAACCAAGGUCUGGUCCUUGUCUCUUCCAUCUCCGCCAGCCAUGGUCAAUCACUCAGGUAAUCUUUUGAUUUUUUUUCUCUUUCCAUUGUUCAAAUAUGUCUACUUCUCUCCAUCUAUGCUACUGCAUUAAAGAACAACACUCAUUUCUCACCUGGACUACAGCACCAUGCCUCCAGUUUUCCUCUCCACACUGCCAAGGGGCAGCCGGGGAAAUCUCUCUAAACCACGAAUAUGAUUGUAUUAUUCCAUGGCUUCAAACUCUUCACUGGCUUCCCAUUGCCCUUGAGAUAUCGUGACACCUAAAGCCCUUCAUGCCCUGAUCCUGGCUCCAACAGUCCUCUCUGGACUCAUCAACUCUUCAGCCCCUCUGUGAUUCUAGGCUCGUGCCA